GUUUAGAUUUGUGCAACUCUGUACUUCUUGCCAUUAUUUCCAUGUCUUAGUUCUAAUAUUAAUAUUGUAUCACAAACCGUUAUUAAAUUAUUUCCAAUCAAUGUAACUAGUUCUAGUUUCCAGUAAUAGAGAUCUUCAUUGCAUAAGUUCACCUACUUUCUCCAGCCUUGACUUGUUCCCCUGUUUGCUAUCAUGUUUUCCCUUAUUUGCUUUGACUGCCGUUACAUCUCCUCCUAGUUAUUGUCCAAACCUCAAAUCACUUUGAAGCAAAACCAGUAGAGAUGUGAGGUAUAUUUUAUUGAAGCUUGGAUGAAUUUGUUCAUCCUUUCAGGUUCAUCAUGUUCAGCCGGUAAGUUCGUCUAAUCUCUCCAGUCUUGACUACUUUCCCUGUUUGGCUUCAUCUUUUCCCUUGUCUUGAGUGGAGUUACUGUGAACGAAAUCGCAUUGGGAAAAUGACGGCCAAUGACGUGUUUUGAUAAUUAAUACCCGCCAAGGACAUGCUGAGAACAUUUGUUAAUGCUGAAAAUGUCCUUGGCGGAUAUUAAUUAUCAAAACACGUCUUGGGCUGUCAUUUUCCCAAUUGCAUUUACCUCCUAGUCAUUGUCCCAAACCUCAAAUUACUUUGAACGAAAACCACUAUAGAUGUGAGAGCAUUGUGAUAGCUUAUUUAAACUGUUCAGCCCGAUUUUCAUUGUUUUCGACGUCCUAGCUUUAAUAGUCAAUUUCAACUAGUGUACUUGUAACAUGCAUGGUAACAUGUAUAUUUUAUAACAAAGUAUAACAUACCCACACUUCAUUCGUUUCACUUUUUCCGCUACCAAAA